rnacentral:rRNA from 1 species
GACGAACGCUGGCGGCGUGCCUAAUACAUGCCAGUAGAACGCUGAAGCGAGGAGCUUGCUCUUCUUGGAUGAGUUGCGAACGGGUGAGUAACGCGUAGGUAACCUGCCUUGUAGCGGGGGAUAACUAUUGGAAACGAUAGCUAAUACCGCAUAACAAUGGAUGACACAUGUCAUUUAUUUGAAAGGGGCAAUUGCUCCACUACAAGAUGGACCUGCGUUGUAUUAGCUAGUAGGUGAGGUAAUGGCUCACCUAGGCGACGAUACAUAGCCGACCUGAGAGGGUGAUCGGCCACACUGGGAAUGGGACACGGCCCAGACUCCUACGGGAGGCAGCCGUAGGGGAUCUUCGGCAAUGGGGGCAACCCUGACCGAGCAACGCCGCGUGAGUGAAGAAGGUUUUCGGAUCGUAAAGCUCUGUUGUAAGUCAAGAACGGGUGUGAGAGUGGAAAGUUCACACUGUGACGGUAGCUUACCAGAAAGGGACGGCUAACUACGUG